rnacentral:other from 1 species
GUCUGAAAUACCUAUCCACUACAAUAAGGAUUGAAAC